UGGUUUCCGUAAACCUUCUAGAAACAAAUCUUCUUCUUUCAUCACUUCUCUCUCAGUUAUCCAAAACUCAUCUCUCUUUUGUUUUUUCUUCCGAGUUCUGCAACUCUUCUCCAUCUAUCUUCAUCUCCUCCAAGAAAUUAGAAUUUGAAACCCAACUUCAACAAUAAUAGUGAAAUAGAAGAAUCAAGAUAAUCAUCGUUUUUUUUAUGAUAUCCCCAAACCCUUUCUUCAUCUCCUCUACCAAAGUUUCUUUAUCACCUACACAACUAAAACCCUAUCUUCUAAAUUAUGUGCAUCGUCAUUAAACAAGCCCUUUACUCCACCUCGUUCUUAUUGAUGUCUUCUAUUAAUUUUUUCGUUUUCUGGAAACAGAAACAGAACCAUUUCUGUAACCAAUUUCUUAGAAUUGUAACAUCAAAUUCAAUUGUGAACCAUUCUUAAAUCCAUUUUUUUGCCUUUAUCUGUUAGGGUUCUAAUCAACUAUUCUUCUAUUUCGUAAAUGGAACCCCCUUUUAUUUCAACAUCAGUAGUAUAUCGGAGAAGAGUACCACAAAAAUCAGAGAAGAUGUUCUGGUUAUUAUCAUUGGAUUUAUUUGUGUUAUGUUUUAUUCGAAGUAAUACAUCUACAAAGCAGCCAUCAGGGAUCAGCUGGAACACAUGAUUCUUGGGGACCUCAAAUUAAGGGUCUUACUUGAGACACCAAAUGAUGAGAUGAACAUCAUUAGAAACGAUUCAUUUAGUUUAUUGAUGAUCUCAGUGGAGUAAGAAAUGGAAUUGACUAUUGAGGUUUGUGCAUUUGAUAAUUGUGGAAUGGGCUAGAGUUCGAUACCCACUAGAAAAUCUGAAUACAUGGACAACAAUAUGGCAAAAGAUGCAUUGGCAUUAAUUGAUCAUUUAGGUUGAGGGAUGUUGAAAUUCUUCAAAUGGGUUUCUUGGUAUGAAACUCAAAUUGGAUAUUCUCCCAAUUAUGGAGCUCAUGGUCUGAAAUAUUUUGGUUAGUCCUAUUUUCUGUAGGCAUGCUUCGUAUGAUUUGGUUGCUCUGAAUUUUGGAGAUGCUUUAAAUUGAGACCGUAUGCUAUGUUCCAGUUGUACCGAAGAAUUUGUGACUUAUUGGACUUCUGGUUUUGUAAAUAUAGAAUUUGUGAUUGAUAAGUUACAUUACUGAGAGCUCCACAUGUACCAGGGGCCAUCAAUUAUUUCAUGGAAUUCCUCAUGUGGUCAUUUAUUUUGCAUCCAAGUGAUGAUCUGAAAAUCCUAACUAUUUCUUCUUAUCUGAUAUAUGAUAUCGGGCAUGCCAAGCUUGCAGGUUUGCUUCCACAUUACAGGUUAUGUAAAUUUCAUUUUUCUUUUCCUUGCCUCGUUUUAAAGUUAAUCAACAUCUGAUUUGUUGUAUCGUUCUUAUGUCUUAUUGGAUAUGUUAUUUGUAUUGGUUUCUGUUUAUCUUGCAAUGCCACAGACUCCCGUUUCACUCCAUCCUUGAUUGACAGGAGAUAUUGCGAUUGGACCCCUAAUGGAAGAGAAAGUUGAGGUGGAGGAUACUGUUGCAGAAUCGAUUCUGGAUAUUGUCCACGAUUAAUAUGCUCACUACAAGAAAACUAAGCUUGUCCAAUAUGCUUACGAUUCUGUGUUGGGUCAUCUAGUUAGAGCCAUUUGCUGGAUAUUAUGGAGUCAUUGGUCACCACAUAAAAAUAAAUGGCAUUGUUCUAAACUUCACCGAUUUCCAACUGUACUUAUUUCAGGUACCCAUACAAAGUUAUUUGUGCGGUCACUUCUAAUGGAUAUGCUCUUCUUUUAGAAAGAAUUCCAUGGUCGGAGACGAAGAAGGGACAAAAGAGAUAGCACCGUGGAAGAUGAAAGUCCAGUUUUCAUGCAGGUGCAUCCUGGAACGAAAAUAACAAGCGAUCGGUAUUGCAAUUGAGAGCACAAGGUUGAAAAAACUUUAGGAAGCUAUUACGAAUUUGUUUUGCUAUGUAUAAACAAUUAAAGUGGGUGUAUAUUCAAGUUUUCAUAUAUUGUGAACUUGGGUAGUAGUUAGAAAUUGAAGUGUAAAUUAAAUCUAGCUUUUAAUGUAAAUAUUUACUUUGUUUCCAUAUU